GGAAAGUCUCUACCCACCAUGCCACGCUAUGCCGUGCUGUGCUGCGCUGUGCUACGGUUUGCCGUGCCAUCCUCAACCGCGUAGCGUGGCUAGUUGUUUCUUUUCUUUAUUCCUUUGUCGGAAAGUCGGUGGCGAGUCUCGUUUUUAAGAGAAGAGUAGAGGGGAGGAGGCAAAAGGAAAACGACAACCGCUCAGCAGGGGCUGAGGAAGGAAUGGUCGGGCUGGGGCUACAGAGAGGGGUACAGGGAGGGAGGAAGGGCCACGCAGCAAGGAGAAUAAAACGUACGGUUCAAAAAUUCAGUACAGACUAACCUCGAAAUAAAGCCGACAACUCGCUCAGGAAACUAAAGCAUAUCUAUUAAUAAUAAACUGUUUUCAGUGAACUGUCUUCCUGUCGUCUGGAGAGAGGUACGAUUGGUCUUUGCGAAUACGACACGCCGGCUUUUGCAUGGUAUCGCCCAUUUGAAAGCGUUGUCCGGCUUGGCGUUCGUUUCGUUUGCGUUAUUAUGUAAUGUUACGUGCGAAUAGCGUGUAUAUGGCACGCCGGUAAAAGGCUGUUGCACUAUUAAAGAAAAUUGCCCUCUCGCGGUGGUGAAUAGGAAGCGUCAUACAUUCUUCGAUACGGUCAUCGAUCUGCUAUUCGAUCUAAGAACGUAAACUCUUCUAUGUAUAGUACUUUAAAAGUUUUUUUUAUAUAUUAAUAAUAAAAGAAUAGUAUAAAUUGAAGAGAAGUAGAAUAUAUUUCAAAUAUAUUCUCAUAGAAUACGAAAUAUAUAAUAAAGAAAUCAUUUCUAAGAAACUUUGAAUACUAUACUAGAAAAACAGGAAGGAGAGGAUGAAGAAGAGAAAGGAAGAAAUAAGAGAGGAAAGAAGGUCCACGACCGGAUCUUAUAAUUACGCUAAUUAGGCAGUAACGUGUAAAAAGAGCGGCGCGAGUAUUUAUCACAAGGUAUCGUGGAAGGUAUACGGAGGUCGGCAAAGGAGGACGUCGUACGACAGAAUACGACAGGAAAGGCUAUAAUACAAUUUUGCCGCAAGCAUCAGAAGUAACAGCAGCAGCCACGACGGUAAGCAAGCGAACAGCAACGCCAAUGCCGAGAAACAGACAACUCUGACGUCGGUUUCGUUAUACGUUCCUCGUAUCUGACAGAUGUCUAAUUUAAAGAAAAUUCAAAAGUUGGAAUUUUUAAAAGCUGAUUCUUAAAAGUUUAGAUUAACAAUUAGUUAUUAUAUUUACAUAUAUUAUAUAUAAAUUAAAAAUUUAUAUUAUCUUUAAACAUAAAUAUUGAGGUCAUAUUAAUUUAACGUACCCGGUCCAGACAUCUAAGAUUUACGAACAAGCCAUAUUCGAAGAAUCUCAUACUCUUUCAUAAAAAUUAGCUCAUCCCUACAUAAGAUGCGCCAACGCGUUCCCUAUGCGCGUGUCUAGCUUAGCAAAGGGUUCAUUCAAGCGGAAUUAUCGUUAUCGCUGGUUUCCCGUUCUAUUUUUCCGUGGGUGUGUAAUCAGCGACCGACAAACCCGGACUGAACGUGUGUGGUUGCUACCCGUCAGAGAUUUUUCUCUCAUCAGGCCAGAACAGCCCGGGACUGAGCGUUUAUGGGUACCUUUGCUGGAUGGAUUCGUCGGAAGGGGAGGGUCGUGGGAUAGAGGGGUUGGGUAGCGGCGGUGGCGGCGACGUGAGGGGGAGAGAGAGAGGAAAGAGAGAGCCUCGGUUGGAUUACGGGCCAGUCGAGCCGGAGCGGGGGUGGGGGGAAGGAGGAAGCGGUCGGCGCCUUUGAUCUCAGCCGCGGGCGCCGACAAAGCGUUCAUCCACUCUCCUACAACGGCGUGCUGUCUCACGAGUAGGAGCGCGACAAUGCUCACCAGGCAAAGCAUGCGAGAGAGAUAAUAGAUAAAGUGAACCAACCAGUAAGGUAGCAUAAUACAGAGCAAGAAGGAAGAGAAGCGGAAAGAGAAAGCUUGAGCAACGCCGGACGAAUGGUACGCUGCGGCGCGAUGGGGGAAGGAGAAAAACAUAGAGAGACCGAAGAACACAUGGAGAGACUGAGAGAAAGAGAGCUCUUCGAUCAGACGGAGAAACGAAUGGAAAAAGAGGGACCAAGGGACGAGCAAAGAGAAAAGAUAGGGAACGAGAGUGUAAAUACGAAUGAAAGAGAAAGAAAGAGAUAGGAAACAGAGAUGGUUCGUUGGAGAAACAGAAAGAGCUAGAGAAACGGAGAGGGAGGAUGGAAGGAAAAGAGGAAGGGAGAAAAGAUCCGAAGAUCCGUUCCACGAUCUGGUGCUGUCGCGCUUGCUUUAGCAUGGCACUGCCACUCCCUUGCGCCGGCUACACCAGCUUUGCUAUUAAUAAAUAAUGCUCCGUGAUCCGCAUUACAACUAAAGCGAUUCGUUCUGCUCUUGGCUCUUUAUUCCCAAUAUCUUCGAACAUAUGGAUAUCCGCGAAAUCUCUGUUCCUUCCGUAUCGUGUCGGAUCUUUUUUAGUAGAUUUCUGAAUGAACCGCUUACCUUCGAUACAACAAAGCUUAUAUAUGACUUUGAAGAACAAUCAUGCCUUCUUGUUAAUCUCCUUUAUAAGAGACGCGUUAGAGAGCUUUCAAUUUAGAGUAUUAGAGAAGCAACGAUGUGCGAGGCAACGAACAUGAUUCACGGAAAUAUGGAUGCGUCCAUUUGAUGGGUCACGAAACUGUUGUUUAUAAUAUUUCAUGUUUAUGAGCCAUGCGAUAAUAAGAACAAUCAUCAAAGAAUGAUAUAACGUUAAAAAACAACGUUAUGAUGAUUAAAUGUCUAUUAGAAUAUUAUUAAUAUUAUUUUUUUAUGCAAUUGUAUUUUCUUUUUUACUUGAUUUAAAGUAUAUUUUGUUUUAACAAUACUUUAAUAUUGUAAUAUUUU